AGGGCAGUGAAGUGAGUGGGAGUGCUUUGUUAUCACCACCACACCACACCACUAUAACACCACACCAUUGUAUCCUUGGCUCCCCGUCUCGUCCUGCCGAGCCCCGCCAAGCCCUGCCCCGCCCCGCCGCUGCUAAGGUGCACGUGUCCCCUCCCGUCCCUCCUCCCAGCAGGCAUCACUGGGCACAUCAGCAGCGACAAGGGGACUGUGCUGGCUGACCACGAGAUGGAAGGCAAAGCUGGAAGUUAUUAAAAAGCCACUACACAACAUUCACGGGGAAGUGGAAGGAGUUUCAGCUGUGUGCAGGGGUAUGUGGCCUAAUGACUCUGCCAUGUCUUACCUGCUGCAGCGCCUCACUAAGUCUGCUGCCGACUAGGAGGGCAAAGACACGAGACCUCUUCUCUCCCCAAGGCCGCCAGAAACCAGACACUUGACCGCUUCACCUCUGAGACUUCACGCCCCAAGCACACCCCGCCGCCCUGUCACCUCACGCCCAUGUCUUUCCGCCAUACUAAGGCGUCCAUGAAGGUUCCGGGUAAGUUGUAUAGUUUAUUUUUUGUACUUUAUUUAUUUAUUUGUUUGUUUUGCUAUCAGUCUGUCUGUUUGUCUGGUUAUCUAUUUAUGUGUCUUUCUGUGUAUCUGUAUUUUUUCUUUCUUUUUUUAUUUGUUUGUUUGCUUUCUUAUUUAUUCAUUUUUUUUUAUCUGUCGCAUUUUUGUAUUAUAUUGUUUUUUUCUUAUCGUGUAUUUUUCAAGGGUGUAUAUAUAUUUUUUUUUAUCUCUUGCUUCUUAUUUUUUUUUUAUCUUUUUGCAAUAUUAUUUAUUUAUCUAUUUUUUAAGGUGUUUUGUAUAUAUGUGUGUGUGUGUGUGUGUGUGUGUGUGUGUGUGUGUGUGUGUG